UCAAGCUAUAAAGAGCGCAAGGGGAAUGCCUUGGCAUCAGGAGCCGACGAAGGACGUGACAAGCUGCGAUAAGCUUCGGGGAGGAGCAAAUAUCCGUUGAUCCGGAGAUUUCCGAAUGGGGAAACCCACCAGAGCAAUACUUUGGUAUCGUGCGUUGAACAAAAUAGGCGUACGAAGGGAACGCCCUGAACUGAAACAUCUAAGUAGGGGCAGGAAAAGACAUCAACCGAGAUUCCGCAAGUAGUGGCGAGCGAACGCGGAGGAGGCCAAACCGGUGGAUUUAUUCACCGGGGUUCGGACUGGCAUCACGAUCAGAGGUAUCUAGAAGAACGGCAUGGGAAGGCCGGCCAUAGAGGGUGAGAGCCCCGUAUUUGAAAGAGAAGACUGACAGCCAGUAUCCAGAGUACCGCGGGACACGUGAAACCCCGUGGGAAGACGGGUGGACCACCAUCCAAGCCUAAAUACUACCUGAUGACCGAUAGAGGAGCAGUACCGUGAGGGAAAGGUGAAAAGGACCCCGGGAGGGGAGUGAAAGAGAACCUGAAACCUUGUGCUUACAAGCACUCAAAGCACGUUAAAGUGUGAUGAGGUACUUUUUGUAGAACGGUCCGGCGAGUUAUUGUAUGUAGCGAGCUUAAGGUGUUCAGCACCGGAGGCGAAGCGAGAGCGAGUCUGAAUAGGGCGACUGAGUUGCAUGCAAUAGACCCGAAACCAGGUGACCUAUCCAUGGGCAGGUUGAAGUGGGGGUAAAACCCCAUGGAGGACCGAACCGACCCCCGUUGCAAUGGUGGCGGAUGACCUGUGGAUAGCGGAGAAAUUCUAAUCGAACUUGGAGAUAGCUGGUUCUCCCCGAAAUAGCUUUAGGGCUAGCGUUGAUUUAGAUUACCGGAGGUAAAGCACUGAAUGGGCUAGGGGCUGAUAAAGUUACUGAACCCUAUCAAACUAAGAAUGCCGGCAAAUUGAUGAUCAGCAGUCAGACUACGUGAGAUAAGUCUCGUGGUCAAAAGGGAAACAGCCCAGACCCACAGCUAAGGUCCCAAAUAUACGCUAAGUGGAAAACGAUGUGGAAUUGCGAAAACAACCAGGAUGUUGGCUUAGAAGCAGCCACUCAUUAAAAGAGUGCGUAAUAGCUCACUGGUCGAGUGACUCUGCGCGGAAAAUAUAACGGGGCUAAGCGUAACACCGAAGCUUGGGCUGCACAGCAAUGUGCGGGGUAGGGGAGCGUCGAAUAUGGGGUGAAGUCGCAGCGGAAGCAGCGGUGGACUGUAUUCGAGUGAGAAUGCCGGAAUGAGUAGCGAGAAUUAUGUGGGAAUCAUAAUGGCCGAAAAUCUAAGGUUUCUUGGGGAAGGUUCGUCCGCCCAAGGUAAGCCGGGAGCUAAGGCGAGGCCGAAAGGCGUAGUCGAUGCACAUACGGUUGAAAUUCCGUAGCCACCGAAACUUAAACCAGAAGGACACUUGGAGCUAUCCGAACCCGGGCGUUGGUUGACCCGGGCGUAAGGGACCGAAAUUAAGUAGGGAAGUCGGAGAAUGACGAGGCGAGAAAAGUUCUGGUGUAUGCUAAGGUGCCCGUACCGCAAACCGACACAGGUAGAUGAGGAGAGAAUCCUAAGGCCAACGGGAGAAGGGUUGUUAAGGAACUCGGCAAAAUUACCCCGUAACUUCGGGAUAAGGGGAGCCCCCUACGGGGGGCCGCAGAGAAUAGGCCCAAGCGACUGUUUACCAAAAACACAGGUCUAUGCUAAAUCGAAAGAUGACGUAUAUGGGCUGACGCCUGCCCGGUGCUGGAAGGUUAAGAGGAGAGCUUAGCGCAAGCGAAGGUUUGAAUUGAAGCCCCAGUAAACGGCGGCCGUAACUAUAACGGUCCUAAGGUAGCGAAAUUCCUUGUCAGGUAAGUUCUGACCC
rnacentral:rRNA from 1 species